GAGAGACGACAGCUGCAGCUGCUGCUUAUCACAGCAAGUGAAGUCUCUCCCUCCAUUCCCUCCCACCCCUCGUGCAAGUGCUCCUUAUAUUGUAGGCGAGAAAAGCCAGGAUGCAUUAGCCAUGGGUGGCUGUUUCCCCAUAAAGAUUCACUGGCUGCACCUCCGGAGAAAGGAGCGUGAAGCAAUGACGCAUUAGCCAUGCGUGGCUGUUUCCCCAUAAAGAUUCCCUGGCCAUGCAUCUGGAGAAAGCUGCUAAGGUCUCCAGUGCUUCACUGACUUCCAGCUGCUUCCAUUCCAGUUAACUACGCCAGCACAGCUGUCCCAGCCUGGAAUACCAGCAUAGCUGGUUCCAGCCCGGAGUCCGAGUCUAGCCGAUACCAGCACGGCAUUACAACGUAGCUGACCCCAGCACACUAUUCCAGCAUGGCCGAUCCCAUAGCGGCAUUCUGCAUAAGCAGUUCCAGCCCAGUGUCCAAGACUAGCCGAGUCCGGCACACCAGCAUAGCCGGAUCCAACCUGACAUACCAUUGAAAAGCCCAUCCAAGUCCAACAUAUCUACUCCAGCACCAAGCAUUCCCUUUCCAGCCAGGUCUACUGCUCUACUUGUUCCAUUCGGGUCUUCCACUGUGACGCUCCCAUACCAACUUAAUGUUUAGUACACACCUCAUGCCUAGGAGCAAAAUACCCAUUGACUACAGCUGCAGAGCUUCUUAAUGCCCAGAGGGAAGGGCAGUCCUUCCAGCCCCAAAGGUUUCCCCCACAGGGGGUUUUCCUCUCCUGAGUGCUGAAGGAUGAUUCCUCGUGAGUCACGAGGCUUCCACCACAUAGGUCCUCUUAUAGGACAAGCUUAAAUUACCAAAAGAACCAAGUUAUAAAUAAAAGCUCUGUUCCCUUUUCCUCCUA